rnacentral:rRNA from 1 species
UACGGAGGAUGCAAGCGUUAUCCGGAUUUAUUGGGUUUAAAGGGUGCGCAGGCGGACUAAUAAGUCAGUGGUGAAAUUUACAUGCUUAACAUGUAUCGUGCCAUUGAUACUGUUAGACUAGUAUACAAAUGACGUAGCUGGAAUGUGUUAUGUAGCGGUGAAAUGCAUAGAUAUAACACAGAACACCGAUCGUGAAGACAGGUUACGAAUUUGUUAUAGACGCUCAGGCACGAAAGCGUGGGGAUCAAACAGGAUUAGAAACCCUCGUAGUCC